rnacentral:rRNA from 1 species
AGUGAACGCUGGCGGCAGGCCUAACACAUGCAAGUCGAACGGCCGCACAGUAAGUGCUUGCGCUUGCGGGUGGCGAGUGGCGGACGGGUGAGGAAUACAUCGGAUUCCACUGUGACGUGGGGGAUAACGUAGAGAAAGUUAUGCUAAUACAGCAUACGUCCUACGGGGGAAAGCAGGGGAUCUUCGGACCUUGUGCGUGUGAAUGAGGCGAUGUCGGAUUAGCUAGUUGGCGUGGUAAAGGAGCAUCAAGGCGACGAUCCGUAGCUGGCCUGAGAGGAUGAUCCGCCACACUGGAACUGAGACACGGUCCAGACUCCUACGGGAGGAAGCAGUGGGGAAUAUUGGGCAAUGGGCGAAAGCCUGAUCCAGCCAUACCGCGUGAGUGAUGACGGCCUUAGGCUGGUAAAACCAUUUUGUUGGGAAAGAAAAGCAGCAGGUUCAUCCCCCGCUGUACUGACGGUACCCAAAGAAUAAGCCCCGGCUAACUUCGUG